rnacentral:rRNA from 1 species
UACAGAGGGUGCAAGCGUUAAUCGGAAUUACUGGGCGUAAAGCGUGCGUAGACGGUUAUGUAAGUCAGAUGUGAAAGCCCCGGGCUCAACCUGGGAAUUGCAUUUGAGACUGUGUAGCUAGGGUGCGGAAGAGGGAAGCGGAAUUUCCGGUGUAGCGGUGAAAUGCGUAGAUAUCGGAAGGACCACCAGUGGCGAAGGCGGCAUUCUGGACCGACGUUGACGCUGAGGAGCGAAAGCCAGGGGAGCAAACGGG